GAUGAAGAACGCAGCGAAAUGCGAUAAGUAAUGUGAAUUGCAGAAUUCAGUGAAUCAUCGAGUCUUUGAACGCACAUUGCGCCCCCUGGUAUUCCGGGGGGCAUGCCUGUCCGAGCGUCAUUGCUGCCCUCAAGCACGGCUUGUGUGUUGGGCCGUCGUCCCCCUCCUAGGGGACGGGCCCGAAAGGCAGCGGCGGCACCGCGUCCGGUCCUCGAGCGUAUGGGGCUUCGUCACCCGCUCCGUAGGCCCGGCCGGCGCUUGCCGACGACCAUCAAUCUCUUUCUCCAGGUUGACCUCGGAUCAGGUAGGGAUACCCGCUGAACUUAAGCAUAUCAUAGCGGAGGA
rnacentral:misc_RNA from 1 species